rnacentral:rRNA from 1 species
CCUACGGGAGGCUGCAGUGGGGAAUAUUGGACAAUGGGGGGAACCCUGAUCCAGCCAUGCCGCGUGUGUGAAGAAGGCCCUCGGGUUGUAAAGCACUUUCAGUGAGGAAGAACGCCUGGUGGUUAAUACCCAUCAGGAAAGACAUCACUCACAGAAGAAGCACCGGCUAACUCCGUGCCAGCAGCCGCGGUAAUACGGAGGGUGCGAGCGUUAAUAGGAAUUACUGGGCGUAAAGCGCGCGUAGGUGGCUUGAUAAGCCGGUUGUGAAAGCCCCGGGCUCAACCUGGGAACGGCAUCCGGAACUGUCAAGCUAGAGUGCAGGAGAGGAAGGUAGAAUUCCCGGUGUAGCGGUGAAAUGCGUAGAGAUCGGGAGGAAUACCAGUGGCGAAGGCGGCCUUCUGGACUGACACUGACACUGAGGUGCGAAAGCGUGGGUAGCAAACAGGAUUAGAUACCCCGGUAGUC